UACGUAGGGGGCAAGCGUUGUCCGGAAUCAUUGGGCGUAAAGCGCGUGUAGGCGGCCAGAAAAGUCUGCUGUGAAAACUCGAGGCUCAACCUCGAGCUGUCGGUGGAAACUUUCUGGCUAGAGUCCGGAAGAGGAGAAUGGAAUUCCUGGUGUAGCGGUGAAAUGCGCAGAUAUCAGGAAGAACACCCGUGGCGAAGGCGGUUCUCUGGGACGGUACUGACGCUGAGACGCGAAAGCGUGGGGAGCGAACAGG
rnacentral:rRNA from 1 species